rnacentral:lncRNA from 1 species
GUAGCCUCAACCUCCAAUUCAAGGAAUUACUUUAAUUCCUUAGUGGGUACUAGAUCCACACAGACUACACAUGAGCCCAACUUUGGCUGGUCAACCCAUGUGCAUCUAUGGGUAGGUUCAUAACCAGUUGUUUCUCUAAACAACUUCAAGUAAUUGAUUUUUGCCCCAAAACCUAAUCAGUAGGCUUUGGCCUCCACUGAAAAGAUCUAUUUAGGUCCAACCAUUAACAUGAC